GGCGGCUGCUCGCGGGUUUCCCAGUUUUUGAUGUCAGAACUGGGAUCCAAAAGAGACCUUCAGUGACCCUCAGGAGCACCGAGUGGCCAAGUGAAGGUCCUUGUGGGGCCCACUGUGCCCAUCGCCUUCUCGCUGCAACUGGACGCUGUGGGAAGAGAAGGUUUGAUGGUCGGAGUGUCCCUCAACCCAGCAGAUCACCUUGCUCUGCCCAGGGUUUCCAACAUCCUUCCUGCGUGCU